GACAGAGGGUGCAAACGUUGUUCGGAAUUACUGGGCGUAAAGCGCGUGUAGGCGGCAAGGCAAGUCGGAUGUGAAAGCCCGCGGCUCAACCGUGGAAGUGCACUCGAAACUGCCUAGCUAGAGUCCCGGAGAGGAAGGUGGAAUGCUUGGUGUAGAGGUGAAAUUCGUAGAUAUCAAGCAGAACACCUGUGGCGAAGGCGGCCUUCUGGACGGUGACUGACGCUGAGACGCGAAAGCGUGGGGAGCAAACAGGAUUAGAAACCCCCGUAGUCC
rnacentral:rRNA from 1 species